CUGGCUCAGACGAACGCUGGCGGCAUGGAUUAGGCAUGCAAGUCGAACGAAGUAGCAAUACUUAGUGGCGGCAAGGGUGAGGAACGCGUGAGUGACCUACCCGCAAGUUUGGAACAGCUCCUGGAAACGGGAAUUAAUACCGGAUGUGAUCAACGGGCUGCAUGGUUUGUUGAUUAAAGCAGUAAUGCGCUUGCGGAUGGGCUCGCGUCCCAUUAGCUAGUUGGUGAGGUAACGGCCCACCAAGGCCAUGAUGGGUAGCUGGUCUGAGAGGACGACCAGCCACACUGGGACUGAGAACUGCCCAGACUCCUACGGGAGGCUGCAGUCGAGAAUUUUGGGCAAUGGACGAAAGUCUGAACCCCCAGCAAUGCCGCGUGCGGGAUGAAGGUCUUCGGAUUGUAAACCGCUGUUUGGAGGGACGAAAAUUGACGGUACUUCCAGAGAAAGCCACGGCUAACUACGUGCCAGCAGCGGC
rnacentral:rRNA from 1 species